GCUGUUCCAGAAAACUCUGCCCUGUGUUGUCAGAAACUGGCUUUCAACUUGGGUUCCAGGAUGAAGACAUGUGGAACAGACCUGAACCUGUACCUCAGCUUUGACAUCUGACUUAGCCUUUGCCAAGGCCAGCCUGCAGAACCCAACCAGGAGCAGCUAAACCGCAGUCAACCUGCAAAUCCAUGAAAGAUAUACUCAGAAGAGAAUCACAAAUGAAAAGGAGUAUCCAUGUAAGGUACAGCAUCCUACCUUUCGUGAGCUACAACACAUCCUCACUCUUGCCAGCACUGUAACUGAUUUUUAAAAUCUAAUAAUCUGCAUUUCUUUGAUGUGAUGAAGUCAAUAUUAUUUUCAUGUCUUGGCCAUCUUAAGUUCCUGUUUUGUGAAUAUUCUAUUCCUAUUCCUCGUUAUGAAGGUUUUCAAAGAGUUAAGAUACGGAAGAUAGAAAUUAUUUUGGAAGUCUCUGUGAUUCAAAAUA